rnacentral:rRNA from 1 species
CGAGUGAAGCGGCAACAGCUCAAAUUUGAAAUCUGGAGCCUUCGGCUUCCGAGUUGUAAUUUGAAGAGGAUGUUUCGGUGCGACCUGGGCCUAAGUUCCUUGGAACAGGACGUCAUGGAGGGUGAGAAUCCCGUACAUGGCUGCAGGUUUGCUUCUAUGUGAAACUCCUUCGAAGAGUCGAGUUGUUUGGGAAUGCAGCUCAAAAUGGGUGGUAAAUUUCAUCUAAAGCUAAAUAUUGGCGGGAGACCGAUAGCGCACAAGUAGAGUGAUCGAAAGAUGAAAAGCACUUUGAAAAGAGAGUUAAACAGUACGUGAAAUUGUUGAAAGGGAAGCGCUUGCAAUCAGACUCGCCUUCAGUUGAUCAGCCUUCCUUCUGGUUGGUGCACUCUGCUGUUGGCGGGCCAGCAUCAGUUGGGGCGGUGGGAUAAAGGCGGCAGGAAUGUGGCUCGCUUCGGUGAGUGUUAUAGCCUGCUGUGUCAUGCCACCAGUCCCGACUGAGGUCCGCGGUUCGCCUAGGAUGCUGGCUUAAUGGUUGU